UUUAGAGAUUAAAGACCAUAUUUUUAGUUUAAUAGUGGUUAUGUUUUUAGUUUAAUUGGUGGUUAUAAAGCACCUCGCAAUGUUUACUGGAUUAUUCUUGGAACAAUGGAAUAGUUGCCCUCAAUUCUUAGGUCAGUACAAUAAAAUAAAUUUCAUGACAAUGCAAUGGAGAUAGAUGUUGGUAAACGGUAAUGUAGGUGGUCCUAGAACUUCCUCUUUAAAAAAAUGUUUAAAAAUGAUUGUCCUCUGAGCCAGCAGGUUUCAGCUUUUUCCAAAGGGAAUAAAUUAAAAUUUUCACACAGCCUUGAGAAUGUGAUACAGAGUUGUGUUAUGUAGAUCCUUUCAAUUAUUCAUUGCACCAUGCUGUGUUCAGGAAUCCAAUAAAUAAUUGUUGAAGCAUAGAUCAAACUGUGGUAUAUAUUGAAAAAGGAGUAGAAUGUGGUGUUUUCAAUUUUAUUGUACUCCCAAGCAUUGAAAUAUGUUGGAGGCAAGUGUCUUCAAACUGCUGUUUGCCAUAGUUUCUGUUUACCUCAGGCUUCAGCAAAAGCAUUUUUUGAAGUUCAUGAAGCCUCAGGACUCCUUACAGGUUAAAAAAAAAAAAAAAAUCAACCCUGCUGAGAAUUACAGUCUUUGAAAUCUAUGAGGCUCAAAGGGCAAGUUUAGAGGGAUAAUAGUUUGGAGAUUUAAGGGGAUAUUCCAGCAGGAGCUGGGAGCUGGGUGCUGUUCCUUUGACUUUGUCCACUCCUCCUGUGGAUCCUAUCACCUGGCUGACAGUUAUCCUUCAUAUCUCAGCUUAAAUAUCACUUACUUUAAAGUUUCCAGAUCCUCCAAAUCUGGGUUGGAUGCCUCCAGUGUACUUUCUUCCUGCCUUAUAUUGAUUUUCUAUCAUUGCAUUGUUUCUUACACUAGAAUAACCCAUUAACUUAUCUAUAUCUCCCACCAAACCUAGAAUGGAAACUGUCUCACCACUGCAUCUGCUAUGUUCAGAUAGUGCCUAAGUGUUUAUGGGAGUCAGGAGGGAAGGGAAUCUCCUUUCACUGGCAGAAAUAAGCCCUCAGUACAUGUAAAGUGAACCUCUAGCUUAGUUCUGUUGAUUCACCUACAGUGCAAGGAUUUUUCUGAGAAGAUGUCAUGGUAAAAUUUGAAAAAGCUUACUUUCUGAGAGGAGAAGAAAAGAGGGCAUUAAUAAGAGAAGCUUUGAGGUUAUGGAUUUGUUCACUCAAGUACCUUAAUACUUACUAGAGAUUGUAACAUUUAUAGAAGAAAAAGUAUGUAUGCAUAAUAUGUCAAAAUACACUUAACUGUCAUGUAUAUCUAAAAUGAACAAA
rnacentral:lncRNA from 1 species